UACGUAGGGUGCGAGCGUUGCCCGGAUUUAUUGGGCGUAAAGGGCGCGUAGGCGGCUCUGCACGUCCGUUGUGAAGUCGCCCGGCUCAACUGGGCGGGGUCAGCGGAUACGGCGGAGCUUGAGCAAGCUAGGGGGGCAAUGGAAUUCCCGGUGUAGCGGUGAAAUGCGCAGAUAUCGGGAGGAACACCAAUGGCGAAGGCAGCUCGCUGGGACGUGACUGACGCUGAGACGCGAAAGCGUGGGGAGCAAACAGG
rnacentral:rRNA from 1 species